CAAAAAAAUAAAGUAUGAAAAAUGAUGGGAUAGGUCCAAAGGACACGGGGCUAGCUUGGAAGGCCAAAUCAGGAAAACUUUGUGUAUAACAGACAAAAAUAGGAAACGCUCAAAUGCCCAUCAGAGGUAGACUGUGAUAUACUCGUACAAUGAAACAACUACACGGCGAUAAAAAAAAA